rnacentral:rRNA from 1 species
GACGAAGGAUGCAAGCGUUAUCCGGAUUCAUUGGGUUUAAAGGGUGCGUAGGCGGGACGGUAAGUCAGUGGUGAAAGCCUGCAGCUUAACUGUAGAAUUGCCAUUGAUACUGCUGUUCUUGAGUGCAGCUGAGGUGGGCGGAAUGUGUAGUGUAGCGGUGAAAUGCUUAGAUAUUACACAGAACACCGAUUGCGAAGGCAGCUCACUAAACUGUAACUGACGCUGAGGCACGAAAGCGUGGGGAGCAAACAGG